GUACUUGCUUUGGUAGCACAUAUACUAAAAUUGUAACGAUACGGAGAAGAUUGACAUAGCCCCUGCAAAAGGAUGACACACAAAACAGCAAAAAAAAAUCCCUGGAG
rnacentral:snRNA from 1 species